GCCGCCUUAGCUCAGCUGGUAGAGCACCACCCUUGUAACGUGGAUGUCCCCGGUUCGAUCCCGGGAGGCGGCU
rnacentral:tRNA from 1 species